UAUAAUAUUGUGACCCCUUUUUAUGCACCAUAAUGUUCAGAGAAAAUGUACAAAACAUAUGGAAUAUACAUGCCAACACCAACAAAUGUGCUAACUGAGUCUAGACCACUUAAAAUCAUUAAAGCUGCAGUCCGUAAGUUUUGCCUCUUUGUCGACUUCUCUGUUUGAAAACCUGGAAUUGCAGCUGUGUGCGGAAUUAUCUAUCUUGCGUGGGUUGUGAGACGGUCAAUCUAAAUAUGUGGCAGUCAGUCACCGCACUGGUUGUGGAUAUUUACUGUACUUCGCAAUCACAGAUUCUAGCCUACAUCUUGGAAUAUGACCCAAAUAAGAAUUUUCACCGUGUAUUGCCAUCUGAACAACUUGUGGAGCUCAUGCUUCAGCACGUGUUCCAUCACAGGGCACUGAUUUAGGUGGGUGCUUACUAACACCUUUCAUCACAUUUCAACAAAGGUAAAAGAUCAACUGUAACACUAACCUUAUAGUAAGCCUAAUGUAAAAGGGCUCACUGUAGUUUAGAGCAUAAGCCGAGGUAGAUUUCUAUCCCUAAGAAAAUGUUAAUUAUAACUUAAUUUAUGUACAGUUUUUGACAAUUGCUAUGACAAUUUUUUCAAUACUUUUAACAAUUUUCCUAAACUCUUAACACAUUUAGCACAACAUCCGUCUGUAUAGGUUAUACAAUUAACACAUUUCUUGUUGCUUUGACACAAAAUGUAUGAAGUUAACACAAAUAUAAAAUGCUUGAACUUCGUUUACACACAAGCUCAACCAAGACCAAAACAAUGUUAUUUUACUGUAAAAUUUUCAAAUGCUUUCAUACUGUAUGUCAGAACAGAUAACAUAAUUUUCUAAAACUAAUUUAUAGUAUGAAUAUAAUGCUUUUAAGUUCAGGACUCUCGCGGCCACAAGUGGAUGGAAUAAGCAAGCCUUGCUAACUACCUACUGUCAAGGAUUGGAUCCUCGAGUGCGGUUGCAUCUUGCUGCAUACGAGGACACCAUCGGGCUCGAACGCUUCAUUCAACUAUCCAUCCGCUUCGCCACUCGUAUGCAGUCGUGCCUCGAAGAGCACCAGGGCCAGUCACAUGCCAACUCACCCCUCUGCCAUCCAGAGACCGUCAGCUCCCCAGAACCAGCCCACGAACCCAUUCAAGUAGAUUCCACUUGACUCUCGACGACUGAACGGCAAAGCAGCUGGCCCAGAAUCUCUGUUUAUACUGUGGAUCUCCGGGGCAUAUCAUCUCCCUAUGCC
ensembl:lncRNA